rnacentral:lncRNA from 1 species
GCGCAGCGGAAGCGUGCUGGGCCCAUAACCCAGAGGUCGAUGGAUCGAAACCAUCCUCUGCUAACAUAUUUUUUGAUUGUGCAGAUUAUCUUUUGCCUAAAGGAAUUACAUCCAAUAUGUGUAUCUCUAAUUAUUCUUCACUAAGGCACAAGAAAAAACAAACCGACAUAAAAUAACGAAGUAAACAAACCACCUCUGAAGUUGAGAUUAAAUUGAGAACCGCAGUGCAUUGUGGGAAACCAAACCUAUCUCCUGGCGGUAGAUGUUAAGGUUGGAGCUCGUUAGCGUGUCUUUUGUUUCGAGAUUUCCAGAUCGUUUCUGUUCCCCUUGUACCAGGGCGACGUGCCUUCAGAAAAACUCCACCAAACGUUUCAUGACCGUAACGAAAGAAAUGGCUUGUUCGUUGUAGUUGCAGGAGUUGUGGAGGAGAUCCUGUGGUCAACUGACAUUGAGUGUCGGUGUCAAACCAUACAACAGACAAAAGCAACACCAAACAUGAACAAAAGCCAUGACACUGAGUGCCGUGUCCACAUGCAAAGCUGGAGAGAAGCAUCACAGAGACAAUCCACUCUGCAAGUCCAGAGAGGCCUUCUGCCCCAAGCUGGAGAGAGGUCUCAUUACUCAUUAGAUGGCAAUUGUAAGCUUCUUAAAACGUCUUCAUAAAUGUUUUCAUCAACUAAGAGAAAAGAAAGGUAAUUCUUUCUGUUUUCUGUCCAUCUCCU